rnacentral:rRNA from 1 species
UACGUAGGGUGCAAGCGUUGUUCGGAAUUAUUGGGCGUAAAGCGCGUGUAGGUGGUUAUUUAAGUCGAUUGUAAAAGCCCUAGGCUCAACCAAGGAAGUGCAUUCGAAACUAGAUAACUAGAGGAUGGCAGAGGAAGGUGGAAUUCCAAGUGUAGAGGUGAAAUUCGUAGAUAUUUGGAGGAAUACCGGCGGCGAAGGCGGCCUUCUGGACCAUUCCUGACACUGAGACGCGAAAGCGUGGGGAGCAAACAGG